AGAGUUUGAUCCUGGCUCAGGAUGAACGCUAGCGGCAGGCUUAACACAUGCAAGUAGAACGGUAACAGUCCUUCGGGAGCUGACGAGUUGCGAACGGGUGCGUAACGCGUAUGCAACCUACCUAUAACAGAGGGAUAGCCCAUAGAAAUGUGGAUUAAUACCUCAUAACAACUUAAGAUGGCAUCAUCUAAAGUUUAAAACUCCGGUGGUUAUAGAUGGGCAUGCGUGACAUUAGCUAGUUGGUGAGGUAACUGCUCACCAAGGCAACGAUGUCUAGGGGUUCUGAGAGGAUGAUCCCCCACACUGGUACUGAGACACGGACCAGACUCCUACGGGAGGCAGCAGUGAGGAAUAUUGCGCAAUGGAGGAAACUCUGACGCAGCCAUGCCGCGUGCAGGAAGACUGCCCUAUGGGUUGUAAACUGCUUUUAUAUAGGAAGAACUACAGAUACGUGUAUUUGUUUGACGGUACUAUACGAAUAAGGACCGGCUAACUCCGUGCCAGCAGCCGCGGUAAUACGGAGGGUCCAAGCGUUAUCCGGAUUUAUUGGGUUUAAAGGGUCCGUAGGCGGGUUAAUAAGUCAGUGGUGAAAUCCUACAGCUCAACUGUAGAACUGCCAUUGAAACUGUUAACCUUGAAUAUAAUUGAAGUAGGCGGAAUGUGUCAUGUAGCGGUGAAAUGCUUAGAUAUGCCACAGAACACCGAUUGCG
rnacentral:rRNA from 1 species